rnacentral:sRNA from 1 species
UAUAAUCAAUGCCUUGUUUCUGGCUACAGC